CUUGCUCCGCCCCUCGCGCGCGGGGGCGGCCGUUAAGCGUCCGGGAGGGGGAGCGGCUCCCCACAAUGAGGUGGGGAGGGCGCAGCAAGGGCGAGUGCCGCUUCCUGCGAGCCGGAGAUACCGCGAAGGGGCUGGGAACGGCUGCCCUGUAAAGACAGCGUGAGAGAGCCGAGACAGAGCAGGUAGCGAGUGCCUCAGGGGAGAGGAGAAGAGAGGGGUUCCGGCCCGGGUGAUGAUGGCCGGCCCCUCCCGGUGAGGGGAUGGAGGCUCUGCCAGGAGAGGCACCGCGUCUUUCCUCUUCACCAGGAGACGCCUCGCAGCAAAAUGAACAGGAAAUAAGCAUUUUUAGAAGUACAAAACGUGAUUUUGUAUCUACGCAUCAGCUCAUGAGCCAGUCUGCUCCGGUGCUGGCUGGCCAGAGUAGGAGUGAUUAGAGGAGAAAUUCUUCUCCAGAAUGAUUUUUCUUUCCGUCUGUGUGAUAGUGGCUCUAAUGGGAUGCAGCAUAGCUGGUGAAUGAAUCCAAGUGCUUUCUGGAAAAAAUAGUCCUGACCGUAGAUUUGGAUUUCAUUGAGCAGCUCCACAAGUGAAAGGUGGAUUACACUUUACGGGAGUCUUAAUUCAGUGGAGAAUACAACAUAUGGCUAAAGAGACUGGGAAUCCCUUGCUGACUGACUUCGUGGCUUGACCUCAGCUGUGCCUUGUCACCAUGGACCUGCCUAGCAAUCACCGGGCCUCAUCCUGACCGUGAUCUGUGUUUUGAUUUCCUGGCUUGACUUUGGACCUGCUUCAACACCAUGAACUUGCCUGAUGCUCUGGACCCUUGGCUGAAUGUGGAGAUCAUCCCCUGCCUUGCUUGCCUCACUUGGGAACAGUGGGGCUGGGCACUGGCUGGUGAAGCCACUGCCCUGCUGGUCAGCUCCCCAUCUCUUAGGAAAUAGCCAGCCCUCACUGCACCCUGAUAUAACUGUCUAUUGAAAGAGUUAUAAAAGCUAAGAUUCAUCUCCUGUUGCAGCUAACAAAAGGAUGUUGUUCAUGGAUAUUGGGAUCAUGGGUUCCGUUGAGCCCUGAAACAAUAAAAAAGAAAUCAAAGUCGGAGUUAGCCUUAUUUGGAUUCUGGUCACUAAAAGUGAUUCUAUUUAAUGGUUACAUGCAUGAAUCUGUGAUUGAGAAGUUGUUAGAGCUGUACUUGGUCAUGGCUAUUAGAAUAUUAAACCUGUAUUAAGGUGUAUUUAUGGGUUUUAUUCUGACCUAUUGUAUAUGAAGAGGCCUUUAUCGGGCUGUCAUUUCUUCACUUCAGAAUAGUCAGAUAUCCUAUGACGUAACUGUGCAAGUGUGGUAGAGAUGGCUGAGUGGGCUAGUCCUGCAUUCCGGAUUUACCGAGUCUUUAAGAUUUCCCUGCUGUCAGACCCUUGAAUACGAUUGUGGCUGGAUAACAUUUUGGUUUCUGUGGCUUUUGGAGAAAUCUGACUUUCAGUUAUUCUGCACAACAUUCGUAUCUCUCCUCUGCCUCCUUCUCAAUAUGUGUGUAAUAUUUUUUGUCUUCAUA